rnacentral:rRNA from 1 species
GAUGAACGCUGGCGGCGUGCUUAACACAUGCAAGUCGAGCGAUGAAGUUUCCUUCGGGAAAUGGAUUAGCGGCGGACGGGUGAGUAACACGUGGGUAACCUGCCUCAUAGAGUGGAAUAGCCUUUCGAAAGGAAGAUUAAUACCGCAUAAUGUUGAAAGAUGGCAUCAUCAUUCAACCAAAGGAGCAAUCCGCUAUGAGAUGGACCCGCGGCGCAUUAGCUAGUUGGUGGGGUAACGGCCUACCAAGGCGACGAUGCGUAGCCGACCUGAGAGGGUGAUCGGCCACAUUGGGACUGAGACACGGCCCAGACUCCUACGGGAGGAAGCAGUGGGGAAUAUUGCACAAUGGGGGAAACCCUGAUGCAGCAACGCCGCGUGAGUGAUGAAGGUUUUCGGAUCGUAAAGCUCUGUCUUUGGGGAAGAUAAUGACGGUACCCAAGGAGGAAGCCACGGCUAACUACGUGCCAGCAGCCGCCGUAA